AUCGCUUCUCAGCCUUUUGGCUAAGAUCAAGUGUAGUUAUCUGUUCCUAUCAAUUUAAUAUCUGACGUCUUCUAUCCAAGGACAACAUGUUAAAUGGAUUUUUGGAGCAGGGAGAUGGAAUAGGAGUUUGCAUCCACUCCGUGUAUCAACCUGGUAUUGCAGUACUUCCAGGAACAGUUCAUCCCCU
ensembl:snRNA U2 U2 spliceosomal RNA